CCUACGGGAGGCAGCAGUAGGGAAUAUUGCUCAAUGGUGGAAACACUGACGCAGCGACGCCGCGUGGGGGAUGAAGGUUUUCGGAUUGUAAACUCCUUUUGGUAGAGAAGAAAAUGACGGUAUCUAACGAAUAAGCACUGGCUAACUCCGUGCCAGCAGCCGCGGUAAUACGGCGGGUGCAAGCGUUACUCGGAAUCACUGGGCGUAAAGAGCGCGUAGGUGGGAUAGCAAGUCAGAUGUGAAAUCCUAUGGCUUAACCAUAGAACUGCAUUUGAAACUGAUAGUCUAGAGUAUGGGAGAGGUAGGUGGAAUUCUUGGUGUAGGGGUAAAAUCCGUAGAGAUCAAGAGGAAUACUCAUGGCGAAGGCGACCUGCUAGAACAUAACUGACGCUGAUGCGCGAAAGCGUGGGGAGCAAACAGGAUUAGAUACCCUUGUAGUC
rnacentral:rRNA from 1 species